rnacentral:snRNA from 1 species
GUUUCCUUGGGCAAGCACAUAUGCUAAAAUUAGAAUGAUACAAAGGAGAUUAGCAUGGCUCCUGCCCAAGGAUGGCACACAAAUUAUGACUCAUUCCUUUUUCUU